CCAAAGUGCUAGGAUUACAGGUGUGAGCCUCCAUGCCUGGCCCUAUUUUUUUGUUGUUAUUGCUUACACUUUUGAGGUCUUAGUCAUAAAUAAUUUGCCUAGACCAAUGUGCAGAAGAGUUUUCCCUGGGUUUUCUUCUAGUGUUUUUAUAGUUUCAGGUUUUACUAUUACGUUUUUAAUUCAUCUUGAGUUGAUUUUUGUAUACAGUGAUAGGAGUUCAGUUCCAUUCUUUUGCAUAUAGUGAAUCUAUUUUCUCAGCACCAUUUAUGGAAAAGGGUGUCCUUUGUGUAUGUUUUUAUUGGCUUUGUCAAAGAUCAGUUAGCUGUAAAUAUGUGAUCUUAUGUCUGUGUUAUCUAUUCUGUUCCAUUAAUCUAUGUGUCUGGUUUUAUACCAGUACUGUGCUCUUUUGAUUACUAUAGCCUUAUAGUAUAAUUUGAAAUCAAGCAAUGUGAUGCCUCCAGCUUUGUUCUUUUGCUUAGGACUGCUUUGGUUAUUUGGACUCUUUUUUGUUCCAUAUGAGUUUUAGAAUUGUUUUUUCUAAUUCCGUGAAAAAUGAUGUUGGUAUCUUGAUAGGGAUUUCAUUGAAUCUGUAGAUUGUUUUGAGCAGUAUGAUUAUGUUAAUGAUAUUAGUUAUUCCAAUUCAUGGGAUGUUUUUCCAUUUGUUUGUGUCAUCUACAAUUAGGUAGGCAGAUCACCUGAGGUCGGGAGUUCGAGACUAGCCUGGCCAACAUGGAAGAAAAUACUUUGUGUAAAUUUGCCAUAUUUACACUCCUUCUAUUAAAGCAUGUUUACUUGCACCGUGAUUUUAUCUUUUAAGUGAAAUAUUUCGGAGAACAGUAUAGUAAAAGUCUAUGUACCCUCCCUCCUAGCAUAAAAAUUAUAAAGUUCAAUUCAUUUUUUCCUAGUCUUCCCUAACCCAGAGGGCAAUUUAGACCCUAUGUUAACAGUAACAAAUAGUAUUUUUUUAAAAAAAAUCUGUCCCAAAGGCUAGACAACCCACAAGGGUUUCCCUAAUUAUUUUGGGGAAUUGCGUGAGGGUUGCUUUCAAACACAAGGAAUUUGCACAACCACAUGGAGUACAUGGUUCUCUCUGGCUCUGGCUCUGUCUCCCAGCAGAAAUAUCUGCUGCCGGUAGCUAUGGAAGGCACCUAAGGGCUGCUACUGCCACAGGUGCCGCCUGCAGCUGACGCUCACUAUUGAAGCUAUACUUCUUUGGGUUGUUGGAGUGGUGACAGUGCUCUUAUUCUCUCUGGAGGUAGAAAAAUCCUUCUCCUCUUGUUGAGAUACAGGGAUCCCAAAUUAGUGUGACUGGUGAUCACAACAUCUCAUCAAUAUUUGGUGAAACAGGCCUCACAGCUGUUCAUCAGACAAGUGAAUUAACUGACCGAUUGUUGUACUUAGAACCUUUGUCCCUCUCCAGGACUCAAGCAUUAUCUGAGUCCCAAGCUCACUUUUCCCAGAGAAUGGGCUUCUUGAAGGGGCUGCUUUGUUUCUCAGUACACAUACACCAUUGGCCAACUUGCCUGUCAAUCCUACAGGCCACUCUAGAUUCUAGAGCAAACACACUUUAAGUCCCAGCUUGGCUUACUCUUCUAAGGGAAGAACUCAUGUCCAUCAGAUUUAUUUGAUGUUAUUUUCUGAACAAUAAAAGUGUUCAAAUAGAUUAUAGGAACAUUGCCUAGGAUAAUAUGGUAUAGCUGUGGUUUGUGAUUUAUGGUAUAUCCAUAUGAUCAGGUACAAUGUACAAUUUUCAAAUGAUGAUUAUGAAAAUUAUGUAGCAAGAUAGUAACAUGGUCAUUACAUACUUUUAAGUAGAAAAAUCAGGAUUCAAAAUUAUGUGUGUAUUAUGAUUAAAACUAGUAUUACUUGUGAUUACAACUAUUAUUACUUAUGAUUUUACUUACAAAGGAGUAAUUAGAGAACAUAGCCAUGUUAGGGUGAGGAUCAUAAGUUAUAUCAUAAUGAAAGAAUUUAUUUUUCAGAAUGUUUAUUACACAAAGUAAUAAAAUAUUUACUAUGUGCUAAAAAUUGUUACCAAAUAUUAAGUAUUGCAUAAUCUUUCUGUUUUGUAAAACACUGUCCAAGCACCAGUAUUAAAGGAUCUUUUAUCUGUCUGAUUACUGCAAGAACCUGGAAUCAAUAAAAUAUGGUAUUUUUUCUUCAUCUCAAACUUUCUCUGUCUCUCUGUCACCCCCGACUCCUUCUGCCUCUGCCUCUUCCUGUCCUUUUCCCUCUCUCUCUCUCUCCCCCGCCCCCGCCCC
rnacentral:lncRNA from 1 species